GUUUGACUGACUGUGCCAUCUGUCACCCCAUUGAUCACCAGGGUUGAUUUGGCUGAUCUGGCUGGCUAGGUGGGUGUCCCCUUUUUCCCCACUCCACGUGCGUCCCUCCAGGAGCUGCAUGAAGAGGACGACCUUCCCAGAAUAGAGAGCUUUGCUCAAGGGAGUAGCUGCAUUCCCCUGCUAGAACCUCCAAACGAGAUCAAAAGCUGAUGUACAAUUUAAUCUCUAGCUUUUUCUGUAUAUGUUCCAUAUAAUCUUCAAAACCACUUUAGGAAGAGGCAGGAAUU
rnacentral:sRNA from 1 species